rnacentral:rRNA from 1 species
UACAAAGGAAUUGACGGGGCCGCACAAGCGGAGGAACAUGUGGUUUAAUUCGAUGAUACGCGAGGAACCUUACCUGGGCUUAAAUGUAGAGUGCAUUUUUUAGAGAUAGAAAUUCCCUUCGGGGCUUUCUGCAAGGUGCUGCAUGGUUGUCGUCAGCUCGUGCCGUGAGGUGUCGGGUUAAGUCCCAUAACGAGCGCAACCCUUAUCGUUAGUUGCCAUCUGGUAAUGCAGGGGACUCUAGCGAAACUGCCACCGUAAGGUGAGAGGAAGGUGGGGAUGAUGUCAAAUCAGCACGGCCCUUAUGUCCAGGGCUACACACGUGUUACAAUGGUCGGUACAGACGGACGCAAAGCCGCGAGGUGGAGCAAAUCCUAAAAAGCCGGUCUCAGUUCGGAUUGCAGGCUGCAAUUCGCCUGCAUGAAGUCGGAAUCGCUAGUAAUCGCAGGUCAGCAUACUGCGGUGAAUACGUUCCCGGGCCUU